rnacentral:rRNA from 1 species
UGGGGAAUAUUGGACAAUGGGCGCAAGCCUGAUCCAGCCAUGCCGCGUGAGUGAUGAAGGCCCUAGGGUUGUAAAGCUCUUUCACCGGUGAAGAUAAUGACGGUAACCGGAGAAGAAGCCCCGGCUAACUUCGUGCCAGCAGCCGCGGUAAUACGAAGGGGGCUAGCGUUGUUCGGAUUUACUGGGCGUAAAGCGCACGUAGGCGGACUAUUAAGUCAGGGGUGAAAUCCCGGGGCUCAACCCCGGAACUGCCUUUGAUACUGGUAGUCUUGAGUUCGGGGGAGGUGAGUGGAAUUCCGGGUGUAGAGGUGAAAUUCGUAGAUAUUCGGAGGAACACCAGUGGCGAAGGCGGCUCACUGGCUCGAUACUGACGCUGAGGUGCGAAAGCGUGGGGAGCAAACAGG